UACAGAGGGUGCGAGCGUUAAUCGGAAUUACUGGGCGUAAAGCGUGCGCAGACGGUUGCGUAAGUCAGAUGUGAAAGCCCCGGGCUCAACCUGGGAAUUGCAUUUGAGACUGCGUAGCUAGGGUGCGGAAGAGGGAAGCGGAAUUUCCGGUGUAGCGGUGAAAUGCGUAGAUAUCGGAAGGAACACCAGUGGCGAAAGCGGACUUCCUGGUCCAGC
rnacentral:rRNA from 1 species